rnacentral:misc_RNA from 1 species
CAGCCUCCGUCAAGUGUGCGGGGCCUUUCGAGACGCGCACGCACAUCGUCUCGCCCCCACCCCCUUCUCCCCACACAGAGCACCAAAGGCUUCGGCCCCGCGUUGAUACGGUAGUCGAAGCAGCAAGCGAAGAAACGGACGCGAAAAGCACCCGAGCCGUUUGUACGCGUGCGCCUCCUCUCGCACUUCGCCUCUGCCGCCCCCGCUGCGGCGCAUCCGACAUGAAGCGUCUCAGCAGCCACCACGCCAUUGUCUGCGGCGCCGCGAGCGCCAUCGCCGCAGUCGCCGCCGCUAGCGCGCGAUCUGGCGACGUGGUGGGCGGCGGCAGCUCCUGCACGGCGACCUCGCCCCUCCUCACGGCAAAGCGAGGACGAUUCUACCGCCCGCUGGUGAACCAGGGUAUCAACCUGUGGCGCUCCCGCAUGGGUCGUCUCCACAAGGGGUGGACGACGUGGGAGUACAACCGCGACGUCAUACCCGACCCACGGCCGUUCCCGGAGCCGGCGGUGAACAACUACUUCGGUCGCUCGCGCAUCUGGAACCCGAUUGCCGGCAAGAUCGGCCUUGUCAACCGCAAGGCAGAGGAGUGGGGGUGGCCACAUCAACGGCCACCGCCGACGGGCCUGCGGCGGUCGCCAGAGUACUUCCCCUUCUUCUUCAGCCGGUACUUCCCUGACGUCGAAGUGCGGCUGGUGCUGGACAGCGUCCUGAACAACGAGACGACGCGACCUAUCUUUCACAUCCCACAGGACAUGUCGAAGCAGGAGCUCGUGAACUACCUCAAGAACAUCUACAACAUCGACAAUGUCGUCCGCAUCAGUGUGCGCAACAUGCGCGGGCGGCGCUUCAAGAACGAGGUGGGCGAGAUCAAGAGCCUGCCGGACUACAAGGUGGCGGUGGUCGAGCUCGACUCGCCGGUGUCCAUUGUAUUCAAGCAGAUCAAGGGUACCGAGGAUACCCCUGACAACAAGCCGGUAGCGCAAAUCACGUAAGGCGCCAGUGCGUUUCUGAAAGUGGGCGUGUCCAUCUCGGUCUCUGCUGCUGCAGAGGCGUGGCAGCGGGCGAAUGCAGCUACUGUUGUACGGGAAGAAGCACUCGGAAUCGGUGGUGGUCGGGCUCUGUGUUUUCGUGGCGUCUGUGUGUGUGUGUGUGUGUGUGUGUGUGAGUGAGGGAGGGAGGUGCGGAUGUCAUUGUUCCGGAUCACAAACUUGUACGUUACACUAACCAGAAACAGAGCAAAGCAGCGCACGCAGCAGCACUGUAGUGCGUUCACAUGGCAGGACAAAAGACAUCGAAAGCACGCGUCUUCCUGCAUCUGCGUGUGUGCGCGCACGUGUCAUUCCCCCCUCCCCCACCCCAGCGACAGGCAGAGAGACACAGAGAGAGAGAGGGCAAGGGUUUGCGAGUGUGUG